CGAGUAGCGCAGCUUGGUAGCGCAACUGGUUUGGGACCAGUGGGUCGGAGGUUCGAAUAUUUUACAA
rnacentral:tRNA from 1 species